rnacentral:rRNA from 1 species
UACGUAGGGUGCAAGCGUUGUCCGGAAUUAUUGGGCGUAAAGGGCUCGUAGGCGGUCCAUCGCGUCGGGAGUGAAAAGCUGGGGCUCAACCCCAGUCCUGCUUUCGAUACGGGUGGACUAGAGGUAUGCAGGGGAGAACGGAAUUCCUGGUGUAGCGGUGAAAUGCGCAGAUAUCAGGAGGAACACCGGUGGCGAAGGCGGGUCUCUGGGCAAUAACUGACGCUGAGGAGCGAAAGCGUGGGGAGCGAACAGG